UGAGCAGCGUUUUCACUGCUGUAUUGGCAUGUUUUAGGGCUAAUGUCGGGUUUAUCUUGUUGCUACGGAAUAUUACAUUACAUUACAUUACAGGCAUUUGGCAGACUCUCUUAUCCAGAGCGACAUACAACAAAGUGUAUAACCAUAACCAGGAACAAGUGUGUCGAAAACCCUAGAGAGAAGUACCGUUCCAAGUGCAGGGAACAACCGAAUAGUUCAACUUGGACCCUGUAGGUUAAACUGAUUAACACAAACAAGAACAGCAACAACGCAGUCUAUGCAAAAAUACAAGCAAUAGUUAAGACGAGUUAAGACUAAGUCACCUAUGAAACAACUACCUAGUUACAACCCUAAGCUUACAGUCAAUUUAGAGAUUAAACUGAGAAAAUACGAUUUCUCUCAGCAUAAUGACAGAUUCAAAGACUAAACAAACUCACCCGAUAUUGUCUUCAAAUGGAUCCAUGCCAAAGAAAAGUAAUGAUUCAUCCUCUCAAAAAGCUUUUACUAACAAACUUUUAGUAGCCUAGCAUGCACUCUGGCUGGCACUGUCUUCCAUUGCUUGCGCGAUGUUCAGACCCUCCCCUCACUGAUAAAAACUAGAGCCUACGGUGUCGGAUUACUUGUGUCGUCAUGUAUGUCAUCUAGCCGCUUGCCGUAAAGAAGUUUACUAGAUUGUCUUAACACUUUAGAUUUGGAGCUACAGCUCUUCCGCACCCCAACUAAUAAAAAAGUCCAAAUGGCGGGCAAACAAUAUGGCGGACAUAGGUGGUCCCAAUGGCAAAGAUGUAGAGCAUGUUCAGAUGCAUAGGUCAAUGAAAUUUUGUGUUGAUCUAACUUAUGGUGUGGGAGUUAUGGCUGUAUAAGCAUGACCCUUGGUUAUAGUGCCACCAUCUGACCGACAUAGGUGAUUUGUAGUGCCUGAGUAGUGGGGGGCCAUAGGAACCCACCUACCAAAUUGGGUUGCUAUAGGACUUAUGGUUGCUGAGCCUCAGACACUUUUAGCGGAGAAUAAUAAUAAUGAUAAUAAUAAUAAUAAUAAUAAUAAUAAUAAUAAUAAUAAUAAUAAAUAUAGCUGCGAGCAGCAAUGAAGGGGCCAAGCACUACUGGGGCACCUGACAGGCAAGCAACCAGAACAACCCCUGAACUAGACACCAGUCCAUCGCAGGGUGAACAGCAUAAUCCUCUACCAUUCUGCAAAGUUUUGUAAAAACCGACCAGUCGGUAAUAGGGGCUGCCAUAUACUUCCAUGGCAGAAAACAUCUGAAGCAUUUCUCGAAAAAGUCUAAUUCGCUAAAGAUCACAACUCUAGGACAAACAGUUCAAAAGUUAUAAGCAAAAAUGUAACUUGAAGUUUGGCCUGUUGGUGGCGCUACAGAGAUGGAUGGAUUGACCCCAAAUGCGAUGCCUGGAUACAAUGGACUGUCGUUUAUCAAUAUGCCAAAUUUCAUAAAAACCCACCAAUGGGUUCUAUGUCUACUGGGAUUUUUAAUACCAUUGAACCAUCUCCUUGUGAAAAGCAACCAUUUUAUAGCUAAAUGGCGCCAUCUGCUGUCGUUAACGUAUAAUGACAUUAAAAAGUCUAGACUUCCAUGGCAAAAAGCAUCUGAAGCAUUUUUUUUUUAAGUCUAAUUUGCGGAAGAUCUAAAUGGCGGAGCUUAUGGGUCCUUAUGGAAACUUGUUACCCUUGACGAGUUGCACAUCUGUGCAAAAUUUCAUGACUGUAGCUCAAAUGGAGCAGGAGAUAUGCUUGUUCAAAAUUAUCCAAGAAAAACACCUUUUUGCUCAUGUAAGCACCACCAUAUGGCCAAUCGGCUUCAUAUUUACUCCCUGUCCAUUUGGAGUGCCCCUAUGCCAAUGUGCGGAGUUUCAAAAAAAAUCAGCUUAGUGGUUAUGCCAAAAGAGGAAAUGAGCUCUCUAGCGCCACCAUUUUGUUUGAUCGGGCCAAAUAUGGAGGGUUAGCCUCCAGUUAUGGGUUGGGAUAUGACUACGAAGUUUCGUACAGUUUGGUCAAACCGUUCAGAAUUUACACACCUUUAUGUUAAAAGCCACGCCCACCUCAAAAUUCAUUGGCUCAUAGUGGCCAUAUAAUUAGCUUUAGCAAAAUUCUGUGAAUAACUUUUGGUCAUCACCGUCUGUAGAUACCAACCGAAUUUGGUGGUCAUAGGAUCAAGGCUGUUGGACUAGUUCGCAAAAGUAGGUUUUACAUAAAAUUCAAAAUGGUGGAAAAUUCAUUAUUCAUUAUGACGUUUUAACAACAAUGGGUGCAUUGGCCAGAAUGACCCAAGGAUUCAGGGGAAACAACCCCCACAACUCUAGGACAAAUGAUUCAAAAGUUAUAAGCAAAAAUGUACCUUGAAGUUUGGCCUGUUCGUGGCGCUACAGAGAUGCACGGAUUGACCCCAAAUUUGAUGCCUGGAUACAUUGGACUGUCCUUGAUCAAUGUGCCAAAUUUCAUAAAAAACCACCAAUGGGUUCUAUGGGCUGCCAUAGACUCGCAUUGCAGAAAGUAUAAUAAUAAUAAUAAUACUAACGAUUACAAUAGGUGCCCUGCACCUUCGGUGCUUGGCCCCUAAUAAU